rnacentral:ribozyme from 1 species
UGUAUGUAUAUAAAAUUAUGCUUUCUCCUCUCGUGAUUUUCUCCUUUUUCCAUCUCCCAACCUUCUCCUCUCUCGGAGAAAGAGGGUCGAAGGUAGUAGGGGCUGAC